rnacentral:tRNA from 1 species
GGCCAUAGCUCUGUGGUAGAGCAUUUCCCUACUGGGGCAACAUCCUGGGUUUAAUCCCCAGUGCUGCCA